GUAGGUGGCACGCGUUGUCCGGAAUUAUUGGGCGUAAAGCGCGCGCAGGCGGUUCUUUAAGUCUGAUGUGAAAGCCCACGGCUCAACCGUGGAGGGUCAUUGGAAACUGGAGAACUUGAGUACAGAAGAGGAAAGCGGAAUUCCACGUGUAGCGGUGAAAUGCGUAGAGAUGUGGAGGAACACCAGUGGCGAAGGCGGCUUUCUGGUCUGUAACUGACGCUGAGGCGCGAAAGCGUGGGGGAGCAAACAGGAUUAGAUACCCUGGUAGUCCACGCCGUAAACGAUGAGUGCUAAGUGUUAGGGGGUUUCCGCCCCUUAGUGCUGCAGCUAACGCAUUAAGCACUCCGCCUGGGAGUACGGCCGCAAGGCUG
rnacentral:rRNA from 1 species